GAACUUACCUGUCCUUGAUCAUGUUGAAAUAGAAGUUAGACAAGCUUCUGGAACAGAAUGCUUGCAGCAAUCGAACAACUUUGCUAUAAUCAUAUUGUUUGUAAGCUUCUGUAACCUGGGAGAGGGAGGUGUAAAAAGCAGUAGUACCUCCCUAAAGAAGCUUGGAAAAGCUUUCUUUAGGCUAAAGACUGGAAAGCUUUGCAGGAAAGACACAGAGGACCUGUUGUUGGGAUGAAUAGUGUUGGCAGUGGUGGCUCUACCUUGUUGAUGUCGUCUCUGGCAGCAUUGAGCACCACAGGCCCAAUCAUCACCUCUGUGAAGACAUUGGAUUCUGCCACCCACCAGCGGAGAACAUCGGCACCGUAUGGAGGAUCCUUGGUGUGAUCCUGAGGACAGACAGGAAAGCAGAGAGCCAUAGAGUAUCUCCAGCUGGAAGGAAUCCAUGGGGAUCAUGCAGUCCAACUCCCUGUUCCUUGCAGGACUACCUACAACUCUAUGUGCCGAGAAGCUGCUGUGCUUAGAGGCUUCCCCUUCUUUUAGCAACCCACACCUGCAGGACUCUGUGUACAGGCAGUGCUAGAGCCUAGGUAAGCUGAGAGAAACUCAUCUGCAGCCUUAAAUCCUUUGACUGCUUAUCAUUAAAAUAGCAAUGUUAAUAUCUAAAAUUACAUAGGUUUUUCUUCCCCUUCCGACUGUUUUCAACUCUGAAAACUGCUUUUCUCCUUUGCGAAAGAAACAAUUGUGUGUUUUAAUUAACCAGGUAAGCAAGUCAUGCAAGGAUUGUUUCUUUUGUCCAGUGAGUUGCAAAAUCUGUUCAGCAGCAUCAGAAAGAGCAACAGUGGGACUGGGGAGGGAAGGAAAUUCAGAGCAUCUGAAUGCACCGGCAGUGCAACCUCCCUGACCAGGGAAUGAAGCUUCCAGAGUCACUAAUAGCCUGAGAGCAGAGAGAUUGCUGGAGUGCAGCUGCUACAUCUGACUGCUCCACUGCCAGCCACACAUGGUAGGCUUCAGUCAGUUUGACAGCAGAGGUUCAUUAUUUUAAUUUUUUUUUGUUUGUUUUUAUUAUUCCUUUUCUCCAUUACUCCAUUAACACUGGUUAAAAGGAACCAUUCUACACCCUCUGCAUAAUUUUAUUUUCUCUUAGUAGAGAAUGAAGGUGAGGGGUUUUCUUGCACUACAGUAGAAGCAGCACAACUCAAGGUUUUCAGUCUAGCCAAAUGGAACUGCAGUAUAGCCAAAGAAGAGCCUGACACAGUUCUGCCACAAGAUAGCUGCAGAAUCUGGCAGUGAAAGGUUGUAAGUGGCAGUUCUGAGAAACUCAGGAGCUUGACCUACUUCGCCUCCAUUGAUGACGACAUCAGGGUCAACCACAUUGCCAACAGAUUUGGACAUCUUCUCCCCUUUCUCGCCAAGAGUAAAGCCAUGAACCACCAGAGUCCUGCAGGAAAGAUUUUAGUGAAAACAAAAUCCAAGAGAAAAACCUAUGCUAAGAACUGAUUUUUAAUGAGGAUAUUCUUAAGUCAAAGCACACAAGAAACCCCGUUUUGGAGAGCCUGAGGCUUCAUCCCCUGAGUUCAACGAGCCAUGAAUAUACCCUGCACUACUAUUCAAGGCAAGCAAACAACUUUAUUUUCCUCAUUUAAUUUUGUUGUGCAAGCAACAGAUUGUUUAGAUAUCCAAGGCAUGAAUAUUUCAGAUUAAUUAAAGACUAAAGUGUUAUUUACUUUUUAAGCCAAUACCUUUCCCAAAACUGCACAGCAUCCUUGCAGCUGAGCCACAUUCCCCUUCCCUAUGCUUUCCAUCUUCCAGGAGAUAAAUGGUGUGCCACAGCUCCAGCAGAACACAAGCACACAGCUAUUCCCAAUUCCCUACAGCCUAAUAUUGAAUUCACAAGUCAAUGAUCUUGGGAGAUUUGCACUUCCCAAAGAAUUUCUUUAAUUGUGGGAGUGGGAGAGAUAGCAAAAAGUCUGACAUGUAUCUGAUAAUUCCUAAAUGACUAAGAAUGAAAACAGAAUUAUGAUAGGAAAAAGUUAAACAGUAAAUGAAUUACAAUCUGAGAAAAACUUUAUACUGAAAAUGUAAGAAUACGAAUCAGAUACUUGGUAGUGGCUUGAUUUCUCGUGUUUAUACACUAUUGCGCACACUUCCAAAAGCUCAAUAUUCAAUAAAUGGACUAGAAAUGUAUUUGCAAUGCACACACUUACUUGUAUGGUGCCUUUUUCCUUGCUGCCACACUGGUUAAGAGAGAGGACUGAAACCAACCUCCCAGCUGGUCUUUUCCUUCAAGGUAUGUAUCUGCUCUCUGAUCCGCACCUUUAAAAAUCAGAACAUUUUAUUUGAAAUAUCAGACCUCGAAUCUUAAAACAAUUAACACAUAAAAUCUCUGAAAGUGAUUAGUAACAUUUAUCCUGCUUUUUAAACACAGUAAGUUACUUUUCUAAUGGUGUGUGGUUACUUAACCAUGAUACAAAGGAUUCAUUAGUACCACAAUUUUUAAAAGAAUCCAAAACUUGCCACACUCCAGAAUUUAACAAAUAAGCUUGCUCUCUCCUAAUCUAAAUAAUAAAUUAUGAAAAAAACCUAUCAUGCUCAGAUUGCUUUGCAGAAGUUCUCAGAAUACUUUCCAAAUGCUCCUAAACAAACUGGAAUACCUAAGAAAAGUUCACAUACUUUGAAAUUAAUAAAAAUCUAUGCCACCA